rnacentral:rRNA from 1 species
AACGAACGCUGGCGGCAGGCUUAACACAUGCAAGUCGAACGCCCCGCAAGGGGAGUGGCAGACGGGUGAGUAACGCGUGGGAAUCUACCUAGUUCUACGGAACAACACAGGGAAACUUGUGCUAAUACCGUAUACGCCCUACGGGGGAAAGAUUUAUCGGAAUUAGAUGAGCCCGCGUAAGAUUAGCUAGUUGGUGGGGUAAUGGCCUACCAAGGCGACGAUCUUUAGCUGGUCUGAGAGGAUGAUCAGCCACACUGGGACUGAGACACGGCCCAGACUCCUACGGGAGGCAGCAGUGGGGAAUAUUGGACAAUGGGCGAAAGCCUGAUCCAGCCAUGCCGCGUGAGUGAUGAAGGCCUUAGGGUUGUAAAGCUCUUUCAGUGGGGAAGAUAAUGACGGUACCCACAGAAGAAGCCCCGGCUAACUUCGUGCCAGCAGCCGCAGUAAAAC